rnacentral:rRNA from 1 species
AUUGAACGCUGGCGGCAGGCCUAACACAUGCAAGUCGAACGGUAACAGGAAGCAGCUUGCUGCUUUGCUGACGAGUGGCGGACGGGUGAGUAAUGUCUGGGAAACUGCCUGAUGGAGGGGGAUAACUACUGGAAACGGUAGCUAAUACCGCAUAACGUCGCAAGCCCAAAGAGGGGGACCUUCGGGCCUCUUGCCAUCGGAUGUGCCCAGAUGGGAUUAGCUAGUAGGUGGGGUAACGGCUCACCUAGGCGACGAUCCCUAGCUGGUCUGAGAGGAUGACAAGCCACACUGGAACUGAGACACGAUCCAGACUCCUACGGGAGGCAGCAGUGGGGAAUAUUGCACAAUGGGCGCAAGCCUGAUGCAGCCAUGCCGCGUGUAUGAAGAAGGCCUUCGGGUUGUAAAGUACUUUCAGCGGGGAGGAAGGGAGUAAAGUUAAUACCUUUGCUCAUUGACGUUACCCGCAGAAGAAGCACCGGCUAACUCCGUG